GUGGGGAAUCUUGCGCAAUGGGCGAAAGCCUGACGCAGCCAUGCCGCGUGUAUGAUGAAGGUCUUAGGAUUGUAAAAUACUUUCACCGGGGAAGAUAAUGACGGUACCCGGAGAAGAAGCCCCGGCUAACUUCGUGCCAGCAGCCGCGGUAAUACGAAGGGGGCUAGCGUUGCUCGGAAUUACUGGGCGUAAAGGGCGCGUAGGCGGACAGUUUAGUCAGAGGUGAAAGCCCAGGGCUCAACCUUGGAAUUGCCUUUGAUACUGGCUGUCUUGAGUUCGGGAGAGGUGAGUGGAAUGCCGAGUGUAGAGGUGAAAUUCGUAGAUAUUCGGCGGAACACCAGUGGCGAAGGCGACUCACUGGCCCGAUACUGACGCUGAGGCGCGAAAGCGUGGGGAGCAAACAGGAUUAGAAACCCUAGUAGUCC
rnacentral:rRNA from 1 species